rnacentral:rRNA from 1 species
UACGGAGGGUGCAAGCGUUAUCCGGAUUCACUGGGUUUAAAGGGUGCGUAGGUGGGCAGGUAAGUCAGUGGUGAAAUCUCUGGGCUUAACCCGGAAACUGCCGUUGAUACUAUCUGUCUUGAAUAUAGUGGAGGUGAGCGGAAUAUGUCAUGUAGCGGUGAAAUGCUUAGAUAUGACAUAGAACAUCGAUUGCGAAGGCAGCUCGCUACACUAUGAUUGACACUGAGGCACGAAAACGUGGGGAUCAAACAGG